GUCUACAGCCAUGCUACCCUGAACAAGCCCGAUCCCUAUAUGAUCUCGGAAGCUGAGCAGGGUCAGGCCUGGUUAGUGCUUGGAUGGGAGACCACCUAAGAAGACCCGGUGCUGGAAU
rnacentral:rRNA from 1 species